GUUCGCCUGACACAUCUACUCACGAUGACAGUGAAGUAUAUCAAGCUGGUGCUAAAAGAAGGACUCUUAACCCCUCUAUUCCUCAUAAGGAGAGCUUGGAGUCUGAAGAUUUUUCUGCAAAGUAGGUUUCCCUUUGGCUCUAAUUCAUGAUAUUUGGUAACUUGUUGUUGUUGUAGUUAUAUUGAUAACCUGGUGAUUUCAGAUACCAACAAAAAUUUAUUUGCCUAUAUUACGGUUGCAGAAGUCCUUGUGGAUAUCCUAUACAGUAUAAAUAUGAACCACCACUUGGUGGAUCGCUGCUGUUUAGAGCUCUGCUCUGUUAAUGCUACUUUGAGUCUAGAUGGCAUUAACUACAUUGAAGGGAUCUAGCUAGGUUUGCAAUGGCAUGUGUACUAACGAAUCAUUUUAGUCUCAGGUUUUCCCUGCAAAACUGAAGUUCAUGUCUCAUGUUUGGAUUAAUCACGGUGUAGUCUGAUGGUAAUUUGUCUACUUAGUGCAGUUUAUGUAUUCUUCCACAACUUCAUUUAAUGCUUUCAGAGUUAAAGUUUUGGGGAUAGUUUGGAUGUUAUACCCAAGGCAUUAUAAUUGCUCUAUAUUAUUCUUAAUUUCAUAUAUCAUCACCUUAGACUACUCGAACUGUCGGCCAUGCUUUGUGAUCAUGUGCGACGAGCAUAUUGUUCGGUGCUGCUAUUUUCCAUUCGCUGCUGGGUUGCUUCUACUCUCCACCAAUCUGUCAAGUAGCAAAGAGUAGGUUUGACCUCAAUUUCGAUGCAGACAUGGAUUGGGAUGUGAUGCAUGUACUUGCUAAUUAAGGGAUUUGGAUCUUGCCCUCAAUUAGAGUUCCCAAUCUCAACGAAGUGGGGUUUACGAAUUUUAUUAUUUUUUAGCUUGAAUGGACUGUAGCUUCGCUUAAUUGACUGACAGUUGUAUUUGACUGCAUAACUGGAUUAAUUGAUUUCAUGGCAGAUGCCGGUUUUGACCUUGGUUGAUCAUGCUUUGUUCCUUGUUUGGCCUGCAACAUAUUUUCUAUGCAUUCGCAGAAAUGGUAACUGAAUAAUUACUUCAUACUGCAGAACAUCUUGCUUAAUACCUGAGUCCCCGGCCCUUGUUGCUACAGGUUUAUCUUGGACAUGAUUCUCAAAGAAGAUACAGAUGUGCAUGCUUCAUAUCUUCUACACGCUUAUGCAAAGCAGGAUUUUAUUCAUAUUUUGAUGAGCUUAAUUUCUUAUGCUAAUGUUUGCUUCCGCCUGAAGGAUACAUAUGGUAUGUUUUGUGAGCGGUGGGUAUGGAUGAGGUGAGUGCGUCUGUUAGUGCAUCAUUUUUGUUGGAUACUUUAAUCUGUUAAGGUUGGUAUAUAUUGAGUGUUGAUGAUGACAUGUUUAUUUUGAUUGGCGUGGUUGCCUCAAAGUAAUGCCCUGCUACUCCUUGGGGGGCGUGAGUGAAGAUUUAUGCCUUAAGCAUAGGAAUGAGGGAGUAGGUAUCCAACAGAAUAGGCGAUGAUGCUAGGAGAAAAAGAAGACUUUGAUCUGGUUCUUCAAAGAGGUACAUCAAGGAACAAGUACAUGGUGCUACUCGAUGGUCAGCCAGAUUCUGACUAUUAUUUUGGGAUGCCAAAGAGAUAGCACAUGAUGUUCGACCGCUGGGGAAUUGAAGUAUAGUGCUUACCAAUAUACUGGCAUGUAUUUUUUUCUAAAGGAUAUAGUGGUUUCCUUUAGUUGAAAUACAUAAAAUUUUCACCCCCAAUGAUUCAACAAGAGUUGUUCAUUAAAAGUGUGUGGUCUCUUUCUUCAUCAAGAAUUGAAAUAUCUGUGCUAUUAUAACUCCAUGGAGAGCAAUAAUAUAAUUUUCACAAGGGGUGACCUUUA